UAUAAACCAGUACUCUCUCUAUCUCCUCAUCUUCCCCUUUUCAACUCAGCCCUAAAUUAAAAAACAAAAAUCCCUGUUCAUUCAAAAAUCAAAAGCCCCAAUUCCAUCGUCCGCCGUUGUCGCUGUCACCCGCCGCCGUCGCCCUCAUUUGUUGCCGUCGUCCUUCACUCGUUGCCGUCACCGUUGCCCUCGACCUCGACAUCGCCCGUUGCCAUCGUCCUCGACCUUGACCUCGACUGGGAACUUGGAUUUUUCUCUUGUAUUUUGGACUCCGUCGCCGUUGCCCGCUACUGUCCCAGUAGCUGUCGCCUUUCGCCAUAGUAGUCGCCGUUGCCCUAGACCUCGACAUCGCCCGUUGCCGUUGUCCUCGACCUCGACUGGGAACUUGGAUUGUCGUCCAUUGUUUAUUUACAGCUGUAAAUGCAAAAAAUCGUACAUAUGGAUUUAGUGAGAAUUCUAUCCAACGUCGGCUACUUUCGGAACCUUAUUCAAAAUCGUAUUUCUGCUAUAUUAUUGGAGGAUCAACAUCCCUUCGAGAUACUCCAUUCUACGGUUACUUAGAUGUUCCAGAUGUUCCAAUGCAACCACCUCUAGUUGAUUGUUUGUUGGAAGUAUUUAAUGUUGAAAAAAGUAGUUUUAAAAUUGGAGGAAAAUGGAUCUCCUUUGGGGUUGAAGAUGUUGGUAGAAUUACGGAUCUUCCGAUGGGAGGAUCUAUUAUAGAUACGAAGUUUCAUAGAAGUGACCGCUAUACAAUAUACAAGCUUAUGCUUUCAUAUAGGUCUAAGGCUGAAAUUGAAGAGGAUACAAAGCGUAGCACUAGAAGAGGAAAGAAGAAAAGUGAUGAGGGUAAGAAGAAGAUUAUGUGUGCUAGAAGGGAUAGGAUGAGUGAACUUAUCGAGGAGAUGGCCGAGCGUAGAUAUCCUCUUUUGUCACAAAUGCUCGUGGCUUUCAUUAUAGGCUUUAUAUUAUCUCUCAAGCUAGUAUGAGUUGUCCCUUGUUUGCAUUUAAAUAUGCUGAGAGAUUGAAAACUCUUAAGAUUAUAAUUAGGCUGAAUUAGUAUAUAAUAUGUUGCAUACUAAGAUGAAUAAGGCUAAAAAACCAUCAUGAAGAGGUUUGAGGGAAAUCGAUCUAGAGGUAGUCAUAAAGGGGGUUUUGCAUCGGUUUUGAUGGUAAGUUAACCUUUUAUAUAUUUAUGUCAUUCUCCAUUGCAUAUUUUUAUGUCAUUUAGUCAUGAUUAUUGUUGAGCUAAAAUUUUUAUCUUUUUCACAGAUUUGAUUUUAUGAGCUUGUGGGAAAGUUAAGCCUUUGCGUAGGAGGUGAAUCCCUACCACUCAUCAUAAUCUUCUACAAGUGUCUGAGGUCUUUACAGAGGAAUGCAAUGCAAGUUUUAGUUAGAGACCCGGAUAAUUUUAGGAAGCAUAAUAAUGACUCGAUAGCUCUAAAAUUUGAAAAGAGGAUUGCUGAAGCUACCACUGCCACUAAAUCUUCCCCUACAAAAUUCAAGAGAAAGGUAAUUACUGAAGCUGAUUUGGAUCAGCUCAUACAUGAAAAAAGAGUGGAAUUAGAUAUUCUCUUGAAGAUGAAGAGGGAUAUAUUUGGUGAAAAGCAACAGGAUGUUGAUAGUGAUGGAGGAGAUGAAGAUAACGGGAAUAAUGGGGGUGAUAGUGAUGAAGAUGAGGAGGAUGAUGAGAAUGAGGAAGAUGAGGAGGGGGAUGAUGAGGGGAAUGAGGAGGGGGUGGUGGAGAUAUGGAUGAGGAUGUUGGUAGAGAUGCGGAGGUUGGUGGAGAUGCGAAGGAUGGGGGUGAUGAAGAUGUUAAUACAUUGAAUGUAGAUAAAAAUGAUUGUGGAGAUGGUGCUAAUGACAAAGUGGGCAUGAAUUCAAUGGAAGUGGAUGACGAUGCCUUUGUUCUUAGCCCGCGUGAUAUUGUGUUGAUUGAAGGCAUGCGUAAAACCCCUUCUAUCAAAAGAACAGCUCUAUCAAGAUCUCGGCUUGCUAGCCCAUAUAUGGGUUUGCCCUUUGUCCCACUUGUUAAUCGAAAAGGAGUAUCAAACUAUCUAGGAAUGAAGGAAGUAAUGGAUGACGAGAGAGAACUACUUGAUAGUUUUUGGAAGGAAAAAAAAUAUGACCACGUAAGUGUCUUCUCAACGAUCUAUUUUUUAACUUUUAUAGUGUUUUCAUUAACACAUGUAAUAAGUUUUUUCAUAUAUAGUGAGACGUUAGUGUGGUCAUCUAGUGAUGCUUUAUUAACACGCAAGGAUGCAUUGGAAUUACUUAAAGGAGAGGUAAUUAGAUGCGACGUAAGUACACAUUCUUUUCAUGCUUCACACAAUGCACGUGUAGUAUAUUAUGUACAUUUCAGCUUAUAGCCUCCUAUGUUGUGCUUCUAAAUAUGUUGAUGGAGAUGCGUCCAACAUAUGCAAAAGACAUACACAUCUGUAGUCCAUGGGUAAUUAUAAGUAGAAAUCCGAUUCGAGAUUAUAAUUAUUAUUCAUAUAUUAUAUUGAAUACUAAUUCUUAACUUUCUUUGUUUUUUAUAGAGACGCAUCAACGGAAAUAGUCCGUCAAGUGUAGAACGCAUGUUUAAACCAAUAACAACUACACGUUUCCUAAAUAUUGAUAAGAUUAUUUUCCCACUUCUAACUUCAUCUUAUUGGCAUAUGUUGGUAUUAUCUGUAAAUGAUCAAAAGUUUUAUCAUUACUCUUCUCUCCGCGGAUACAUGUCUGAUGCUGUUGAUUUUAGAGUGAAGCUUAUUUCUACCAUUUCCGAUGAUUGGAAUUUGGAUAUUACAUCUUGUCAUGAGAUAGAAAGUGUUGAUGUACCUCAACAACGUGGUAGCUUGGAUUGCGGGGUGUUCUUGAUGUCAUACAUGUUCAGCCUCAUUUCCGGUCAACCAAUUUUAAUUGAUCAAAAGAAUUGUGCAAGACAUAGAGUUCGUCUCGUUGCUCUAUUUCUAUCUAAAUGAUAUAAAUGUGAUCAUCAAGCUAAUUUCACCAUAUGCUAGUUGCCAUCUGAGAUAUGCAAAUUUUGUGUGAUGUGUAAAUAUAUGUUUCGAGUAUGUAAAUAGAUAAUCUGAAAGUCUUUUGAGUGCUAUUUUGUGUGUAUAAAUAUAUGUUUGGAGUUUGAUUUUGUAAAGUAUUGUUCUUAGUUUUUUAGAUUGAAAGUAGAUAAUGAAAGUUAUG